AUUGAACGCUAGCGGGAUGCCUUACACAUGCAAGUCGAACGGAGUGGCGAACGGGUGAGUAAUGUAUCGGAACGUGCCCAGCAGCGGGGGAUAACUACGCGACAGGGUAGCUAAUACCGCAUACUAUUGGAGCGGCCGUCAUCGGAGUAGCUAGUUGGUGGGGUAACGGCUCACCAAGGCGACGAUCCGUAGCCGGUUUGAGAGGACGACCAGCCACACGGGGACGGAGACACGGCCCAGACUCCUACGGGAGGCAGCAGUGGGGAAUUUUUGGCAAUGGGGGAAACCCUGAUCCAGCCAUCCCGCGUGUGCGAUGAAGGCUUUCGGAUUGUAAAGCUCUGUUGUAAGGAAAGCGGUAUCUGCAGAAUAAGCACCGGCUAACUACGUGCCAGCAGCCGCGGUAAUAC
rnacentral:rRNA from 1 species